rnacentral:rRNA from 1 species
GACGAACGCUGGCGGCGUGCUUAACACAUGCAAGUCGAACGGAAAGGCCCUGCUUUUGUGGGGUGCUCGAGUGGCGAACGGGUGAGUAACACGUGAGUAACCUGCCCCUGACUUUGGGAUAACUUCAGGAAACUGGGGCUAAUACCGGAUAGGAGCUCCUGCUGCAUGGUGGGGGUUGGAAAGUUUCGGCGGUUGGGUAUGGACUCGCGGCUUAUCAGCUUGUUGGUGGGGUAGUGGCUUACCAAGGCUUUGACGGGUAGCCGGCCUGAGAGGGUGACCGGCCACAUUGGGACUGAGAUACGGCCCAGACUCCUACGGGAGGCAGCAGUGGGGAAUAUUGCACAAUGGGCGGAAGCCUGAUGCAGCAACGCCGCGUGCGGGAUGACGGCCUUCGGGUUGUAAACCGCUUUCGCCUGUGACGAAGCGUGAGUGACGGUAAUGGGUAAAGAAGCACCGGCUAACUACGUG